UACCCUAUGGCUCAGUUGGCUAGCGCGUGGAGCUGUUAUCUUCAACACACUCCGAGGUCCACGGUUCGAGCCCGUGUGGGGUAG
rnacentral:tRNA from 1 species